UUUUUAGUAUAAGUAGGUCCUAUGUGGUAUUUGGGAUCUGCUUAUACUAAAA
rnacentral:pre_miRNA from 1 species